rnacentral:lncRNA from 1 species
CAGUGACACACUUCCUCCAACAAGGCCAUACUCAAUCCAAUAAAGCCAUGCCUCCUAAUAGCGCCACUCCAUAUGAGAUUAUGGGGGCCAAUUACAUUCAAAUCACUACAGCAUCCCUACUAUUUUGAACUGGGGAAUGUUCUUUAGCUCCAUAUGCCUCAAUUUUCUCUUCUAAAAUGGGAUGUGUUACUUAGACCUCUGUUGCACAGAGAAAUUAAAAGGAGGGAAUGAGAAGACAUGCCCCAGAGAGAUUUUGUUCAGCCAUAGAGAAGAACUGACUCAUGUCACCUGCAGGAAAAUGGAUGGACUCGGAGAUCGUCAUGCUCACUGAAACAAAUCAGACUGAGAUGAGCUCUGGCAUGGUCAGGAUCGCACGGUUGCAGACAGAAGCCAGACUCAGAAAAACAAAAAUUGCAUGCUUUCACUUGUGAGGAACCUAGAUUUCAAAAUAAAAAAAUA